GAGUUUGAUCCUGGCUCAGAUUGAACGCUGGCGGCAUGCCUUACACAUGCAAGUCGAACGGCAGCACGGGAGCUUGCUCCUGGUGGCGAGUGGCGAACGGGUGAGUAAUGCAUCGGAACGUAUCCUGGAGUGGGGGAUAACGUAGCGAAAGUUACGCUAAUACCGCAUAUUCUGUGAGCAGGAAAGCGGGGGACCUUCGGGCCUCGCGCUCUUGGAGCGGCCGAUGUCGGAUUAGCUAGUUGGUGAGGUAAAGGCUCACCAAGGCGACGAUCCGUAGCAGGUCUGAGAGGAUGAUCUGCCACACUGGAACUGAGACACGGUCCAGACUCCUACGGGAGCAGCAGUGGGGAAUUUUGGACAAUGGGGGCAACCCUGAUCCAGCCAGUGCCGCGUGAGUGAA
rnacentral:rRNA from 1 species